AUUGAACGCUGGCGGCAGGCCUAACACAUGCAAGUCGGACGAGCGGCGGACGGGUGAGUAAUGUAUGGGGAUCUGCCUGAUGGAGGGGGAUAACUACUGGAAACGGUAGCUAAUACCGCAUACCAUCAGAUGUACCCAUAUGGGAUUAGCUUGUAGGUAAGGUAAAGGCUUACCUAGGCGACGAUCCCUAGCUGGUCUGAGAGGAUGACAAGCCACACUGAGACUAGGACACGGCCCAGACUCUUACGGGAGGCAGCAGUGGGGAAUAUUGCACAAUGGGGGCAAGCCUGAGGCAGCAAUGCCGGGUGUAUGAAGAAGGCCUUCGGGUUGUAAAGUACUUUCAGUCGGGAGGCGUUACCGACAGAAGAAGCACCGGCUAACUCCGUGCCAGCAGCCGCGGUAAUA
rnacentral:rRNA from 1 species